UACGUAGGGUGCGAGCGUUAAUCGGAAUUACUGGGCGUAAAGCGUGCGCAGGCGGUAAGUUAAGUCUGAUGUGAAAGCCCCGGGCUCAACCUGGGAAUGGCAUUGGAAACUGGCUUGCUGGAGUGUGGCAGAGGGGGGUGGAAUUCCACGUGUAGCAGUGAAAUGCGUAGAGAUGUGGAGGAAUACCGAUGGCGAAGGCAGCCCCCUGGGAUAACACUGACGCUCAUGCACGAAAGCGUGGGGAGCAAACAGG
rnacentral:rRNA from 1 species